rnacentral:tRNA from 1 species
GGUAAAAUGGCUGAGAAUAGGUAGUAAAUUGUAAAUUUAUUUAUAGGGUUAAACCCCUUUUUAUCA